UCGGCUACGGUGAUGUUGACAUCGUCGUUGGUGAGACGGGCUGGCCGUCUGCCUGCGAUGCGCCUUGGUGCUCUCCUGAAAACGCGGCUUGGUUCAACCUCAACAUUAUUAAACGUGCACAAGGCCAAGGAACACCUCUCAUGCCUAACAGACGGUUCGAGACUUACAUCUUCGGUUUGUUCAACGAAGAAGGCAAGCCCGGUCCAACCGCAGAGCGGAACUGGGGGCUUUUCUGGCCAGAUUUUUCACCGGUUUACGACGUUGGCCUCCUCAGAAACAAACAAGCUGGUGGUGGUGGUGGACGUCCAGCACCAGCAUUGCCAGCGCCUAGUGUUGGUGGUGGUAAAUGGUGUGUGGCCAAGUCGGAAGCUACUGAUGGGCAGUUGCAGGGAAAUAUUGACUGGGUGUGUAACCAGGGAGGCGUUGACUGUAAACCGAUCCAAACCGGUGGUUCGUGCUCUAACCCGAACAGUUUGAGGACACAAGCGUCUUUUGUGAUGAAUGCUUAUUUCCAGAAAAACGGUCGAACUGACCAGUCAUGUUAUUUCAGUGGAAGCGGAGUCAUCGUAGGGGAACAACCCAAGCAAUGGUGCGUGUAAGUACUAUAAGUGCGACAUCUCUUUAAGAGAUUUGUCUAUAUAGCAUUUGUUUGGAAUAAAAAAAAGACUUAAAAUUAUGGUUUAUGAGGUUUUUUUGUUUGAUUUUCUGGAUAUUCUUCUAGUUCUGAGGUUUCUCUAUUCAUUUCCCUUUUUUUCAAAUCCUUUUAUUUGAAUAAAUAAGGAUGAAAUUCUUAUAAUAUUUACUUUAGACAUACGCUUAACGCGUUGAUCACGCUGGCUCGUGAUCUUUAUGUUUGAUAGAUGGUCCAUCAACCUAUAAAGCAAUUUGAACGUUAGAACAUAAUCUCAUCAGCAAGAUAAUUAUGUUUUUUUUUUUGAUAAUUUAGGUAAUCCGGACACCCCGGAGGGAACCCGACUAGCGCAUAAGUACUUCCGCAAAAGGCAUCCUGGAGAGCCACCGUUUUCACCCCAUUUUAAUCGACGGUGGCCAGUGGGAUUCGAACCCGGGUUCGUAUUGGGGGCAAAGCUCCCUCAAAACCACUGGUCGUCCUCCCUUGGUUAAGAUAAUUAUGUUUUCCAGGUGGUUCCUCGACCAAUCAUACAUAUAAAAAAAUUAAGAUAUCCGGAUCCGGAUACUGAUACGCCCUAAAUCGGGAAGGAUCACUUUAGCUGGGUGUUGGAUAUGAACCGAAAAGGCAAUGACACUUCUGGAACUGAGAUGGAUUGAAAAGAUCGUCAAGAGAUGUCGUAUUGGGGGCAAAGCUCCCUCAAAACCACUGGUCGUCCUCCCUUGGUUAAGAUAAUUAUGUUUUCCAGGUGGUUCCUCGACCAAUCAUACAUUGGUAGGUUGGGUGACACCAAUAUAUGAGAAAUUCCAGUCUUAAAAUUGAGAUUUAUAUUUUCAGAUCUGUAUAACAAAAUCAUGAAAUCGAAUUUAAAUAUUCAAAACCAAAUCUAAAUUUUCUAGUCUAUGAAUUUGUAAAUGUUUCUUAUAGAUCAACUUGGUUAGUAUUUCCUUGCCAAUGACCACCGGAAGUCAUCGAGGAUCAGUGGCAGAGGCAAAAAUAAAUUUUGUGGGGGUCGUAAUUAAUUUUUAUUAUAGGGAAAGAGGGCAUAUAUAAGACUUGAACAUACGACACAGGGGUCAAAAGGGGUGAUCUUAACCAUCUGUCCAAGACAAUAACGUUAAAACCAAGACUAAAUUUAAAAAUUUAUUGAUUUUAUCGGGGUCCCUCCAUGGCUCCGCCACUGUGGAGGAUCACAAGUAGGCCUGGGACGGAUCAGGUAUCCAGACAAUUUUAAGGUAUCCAGAUUUUUAUCCGGCGGAUCCAUAAUUUUACUAUCUUUAUCCAGAUCUGGGGUUCUCGAAUAUUCGGGUGUCGGAUAUCUUUUUAAAAAUUGUAAUAUUCGGCGGAUAUCCUAAUCGGAUUUGGAUCCUUAAAAUAAAUAAAAAAUAAUAUUAAUAUAUAUAAAAUAUUAACAAUAAUUUAAAAAUAAAAAUAUAUAUAAUGUUUUUAAUCAUUUCGAUGUAUAAUAUUACAAAAUUUACAUAAAAUUUAUAUAUACUAUUAUAAAAAUGAAAAUAUAUUAAAUAAAAUUAAUUUUUUUAUAUAGAUAUUACUAUUUUUGAAAUAGUUAUUAAUAAAACUUACGGAUCCGGAUAUCUGGAAUAAAAAAAUUAAGAUAUCCGGAUCCGGAUACUGAUACGCCCUAAAUCGGGAAGGAUCACUUUAGCUGGGUGUUGGAUAUGAACCGAAAAGGCAAUGACACUUCUGGAACUGAGAUGGAUUGAAAAGAUCGUCAAGAGAUGCGAAAUGACUCUUGAUAUACCCACGAUCUAAGGCUAACCACCCAAGAAAGAAUGAAUGUGUUGGCUAACCACCAAACAACACACAAAGAUGAAAUGGCUGACCACCAAAUCAACAAGCCGGUUAACACCAAUGAACUAGCUAAAAAACUCUCUCUCUCACUCAGUGAAAAGAAGAAAACAAAAAUAAACUCAAACUUAUACUGAUUUUAUUCAUGGAAGAGAUUACAUAUUUAUACUACUUGUAGUCAAAAAGAAUUAAAGAGAAUUGUGGGAAAACAAAGCUUAGAAAAUAGAAACAUUGACUAGAAUAUUAUUAAUGAGUCAAAGACUCAGUCUUCCAUGCAGAUUAGUCAAAGAUGACCCUUCGGUUCACGUUCUGGUCAAGGAAACCCUUCGGCUACUGUCCAGGUUCAUCCGAACCAGAUGGAUGCACGGGGUAAAGAUAAGGACGCUUGCGGGACUGUCCGGAUGGUCCGCCAGAUAAGAAUGCAUGUCCGUCUUUGGUUUCUUCACGACCACGACCCAAGCUAAAUCUGGCUCGACUAUUGUCCUUAGAAUAUCGAAAUGGUCGGGAAAGACGAGCUCUGGUACGGUCAGUUCGGUCGUCUGAUCGUGGUUCCAGCCGAAACUCCAUUCCGGACAAACGCGGGUCGAUCCGGUACACAGCUCGGUCAGUCUGAUCGGUACAGUUGGAUGGAUGAACCUUGGUUGAAUUGUUUAGAACGUCCUGAUGUCCAUGCGGAGCUGGUUCCAUGUACUGAUCCAUGGACUGGGGUACAUCAUUCCCUCCUUCAAAAAGAUUUGUCCUCAAAUCUGUAACAUUAAAAGGAAAAGAGUUAUAAGCAAAAUAAUUAUAAUCAGCAAAAUGCUCACCUUGAAUUUGGUCCGGUUUUUGAAUGGAAGAAGAUCCUUCUUGGUUUGCUUGAUGACCACAUAUUUGUUCUUCAUCUAGCCCCUCCAUUGGCUUAUUUGUGAAGUCAUCGAAAAUCGGCAAUGAGACUAAAAGUUCUUCCUUUUCUGGCUCGGUUUCAACUUUGUCAUUCUCCAAAGUCACCAACGGUUUCUUGUUUUGGCACUUGUUAGCAUAAUGACCGAUCAUAUGGCAUUUGAAGCACCUGGUAGAAUGAGCUUUGCUUGUGGUUUUCACAACUUUGCGUUUAUCAAAAGAAAACACAUUAGUUUUCAAAUCGGAAUUUGAAAGAGAAGAAAGAUUACCCCGUUUGAGAUUAUGUUGUUUUGGUGCAGGAGAAGUGUUGGUGUUUCCCUUCUUUUUGAGUUGCCGGAUAGCAUGAAUUGCCUUAUGCAACAUCUUCUCCAAGUUGACAUAAAUCUGAAGCUCAUUCUGAUAAAACACAUCACAGUUGCUUCUCUUGGCUUUGGUGAAGGGACGAUCACCACUUCUGACCCACUUCUCAUCGUCAUCAAACCUGUUUUGUCUCUUCCUUUGGUUUCUUUGUUUCUGCACAAAAUCAAACCCAUCAGAAGCAAACUGUUUCUUAUUUCCAAAAAUCAUUUGCUCUUUUUCUAACACGGUUUUAAAAGGAAAGUAAACGUCUUGUUGUGGUUUUGAUUUCUUGAGAAGUCCAAACAUCCUGAAAACACUUAACAAAAGAGUUAGCAAAUAAAAAUCCUCACACUCUCAAAGUGUUUAGCUCACGAUUUUUAGGUGAUCACUCAGAGUUCUUUCCACUGGUUCAAAGGAUGAUAGGCAGUCAAAAUUCAGCAAUCAAAACCCAAAACAAACUUUUGUGGGAAAAAGAAAAGAGAAAGAAAGAUGAAGAGAUUUUUGAUAUGGAUCCGCCUUAACUAUCCUAAGGAUGGGUUUUUCUUCAGCCAGCAGGGUUUCUCUUUCACCACUCCCCAUGGAUUUCUCUUCAGAAGUGAUUCAAGCCAAAACUUUUUUUUUCUCGAUUUUUUUCAUAUAUAAUAGGCGAUCACAAGGGAGUAAAGGAACAAUCCGGAUCCAAGAAAUAAGAAAAGAAAAACGUGGAGAGAUGAGAAGAUGAAAGAAAACAAACCAGCCAAAGUGGCUCUGAUACCACUUGAUAAGCCCUAAAUCGGGAAGGAUCACUUUAGCUGGGUGUUGGAUAUGAUCCGAGAAGGCAAUGGCAUUUCUGGAGAUGAGAUGGAUUGAAAGGAUCGUCAAGAGAUGUGGAAUGGCUCUUGAUAUACCCACGAUCUAAGGCUAACCACCCAAGAAGGAAUGAAUGUGUUGGCUAACCACCCAAGAAAGAAUGAAUAUGUUGGCUAACCACCAAACAACACACAAAGAUGAAAUGACUGACCACCAAAUCAACAAGCCGGUUCACACCAAUGAACUAGCUAAAGAACUCUCUCUCUCAAUCAGAGAAAAGAAGAAAACAAAAAUAAACUCAAACUUAGACUGAUUUUAUUCAUGGAAGAGAUUACAUAUUUAUACUACUUGUAGUCAAAGAGAAUUAAAAAGAAUUGUGGGAAAACAAGGCAUAGAAAAUAGAAACAUUGACUAGAAUAUUAUUAAUGAGUCAAAGACUCAGUCUUCCAUGCAGAUUGGUCAAAGAUGACCCUUCGGUUCACGUUCUGGUCAAGAAAACCCUUCGGCUACUGUACAGGUUCAUCCGAACCUGAUAGAUGCACGGCGGUAACGAUAAGGACUCCUGCGGGACUGUCCGGAUGGUCCGCCGGGUGAGAAUCCAUGUAUGUCUUCAGGUUCUUCACGACCCAAGCUAAGUCUGGCCCGACUAUUGUCCUUAGAUUGUCGAGAUGGUCGGGAAAGACAAGCUCUGGUACGGUCAGUUUGGUCGUCUGAUCGUGGUUCCAGCCGAAACUCCAUUCCGGACAAACGCGGGUCGAUCCGGUACACGGCUCGGUCAGUCUGAUCGGUACGGUUUGAUGGAUGAACCUCGGUUGAAUUGUUCAGAACGUCCUGAUGUCCAUGCGGAGCUGGUUCCAUGUACUGAUCCAUGGACUGGGGCACAUCAGAUCCGGCCUUGACGGAUCCAACAUUUUACUAUCCGGAUCCGGAUUCGGUCUCUCCGGAUAUCCUGAUUUUCGGAUCGAAUCUGGAUCUCAGAUAAAUGUUUCAGGCCUAAUCACUACUAAUUGGUUGUUAAUGAGGUUGUGAAUCCUUAUGGCAUCACUCUCCUAAGGUAUGAUUCCAAAAAUGAGGCUUUUUUUUGCUAUGUUAUUGAUCAGUUACUACUACAGAGUGACGACACCUUCAGCUAAAAUUGUCAUUCCAUUCACACUCUUCGAUCGACAUAUUGUUUCAUCUGUUCAAGAGAUUUUGCCUAGAGUGGUUUAAAUAAGCUUGUGCUCUUUCUUUUUCAUUAUUUUGUAACUUACAUGCUAAACCUUCCAACUCUUUUAAAGUUCAUCAACAAAAAAACUCUUGACCGGUUGGUUAAAGAAAGACAAAAUUGCAUAAUUAGUUAAAGCAUGGCUCUAAUUAGUAAAGUAACCGUUGGUUUGUCCACAAUAUUGUCUACUAAACCAAUGUUUAACCGAAAUUUUCAAUGUUUUUUCUUCCUCGAUCCUGUUUUUAUUCAAACAUGAGCAAACUGUAUUUAUAAAGUGGCUAAAAUAACACUGGCAAAUAUAUUCUACAAUGAUUACAUUACAAUGUUCACAGAGCGUCAUAUUGACAUUGCUAAUACAGAAUCAUUAACAUUUUGUUGGUCAAAUCUAGAAGGAAUAUAUACAUUAAUUAAUGAGUUUUGAUCUCAUUCAAGAACAAUAUUUUUUUUUUACGGCAAACGGCUAUUCUAUUACUCAAACUUGAGGUGAUCUGGGAAGCCAGAUCGGAAUAGAACAACCAAUAAAACAUAAAGAUCUAUGAAAAGAACGUGCAUUCCUAGCUAACGAAUCCGCAAUCUCGUUCUGCGUCCUUGGAACGUAGCUUAUUUUGAAAUCCGAAAAACAUAACCGAAGAGUUUGAAUGAUUUCCAGCUCAGUUGAGAAGUUGGGCCAAUCUUGUGGCUGCUCUAUCAUUGCAAUCAUGUCCUUACAGUCCGUCCCAAACCUCUGACAGGUCGAGUGUUGUAGCAUACUCUCCAUUGCCCACUUUAACGCUUCCAGCUCCGAGGGUAGUGAUGUCUCCCUCCUCCGGAGAUUCCUUGAUCCCAUGAGCUGUAUCUUCCCCAAAGUAUCCUGCCAAACCCAUCCCAUUCCACUAAACUGCGCUGUGGAGGUCCAUGAACCAUCCACCAUACAAAUAUUACUCAAGCUUAAGACUUGUGUUUCUUCAUUAUUCUGUGCAUUUGGCAGAUUCGGUACAGUUUCUCUUGCAUUAUACCAAGCUUGACACUCUCCCUCUGCAUACCUAACUAGCUCCAAUGGAUCUCUGUCUAUACCUCUAAACAGUGUAUCAUUCCUAGCUUUCCAGAUAUACCAAAUUAUCCAAGGAUAAGGAUCUCUAUCAUCCUCAGGCUCCAAAAUACUAUUCUUUCUCCAAAAACGAUAGUCCAUAUUAGCAUAAAUACUUGGUACCGGAAAGAUUUCAGAACUCGUCGGGGUUGAUGAUAAUUCUCAUGCUUGUAAGGCCGGAGGGCACUCAAAGAUAGCAUGAGUAACGGUCUCUUCUGGUGCCCCACAUAUUGGGCAGUAAUUAUCACAACGUAUAUUACGGCGUACCAGAUUCCUUGUUACAGCCACCUGUCCGGAUAUUAAUUGCCAUAUAAGAUGGCAUAUCUUUUGUGGCGCAUUCACCUUCCAAGCAAAGGCUUGAAGUUUUGUAAUGCUGGGUUGUAGAACUUCUAAGUCCUCCUCAUCUCUCAUCAAGUUUGUAGCAACCCAGUAUCCCGACUUAACAGUAUAUUGUCCGUUCUUCGUGUAACUCCAGCAAAAUGUGUCCCGUCGAUGAGUAGGGCUUAUGGCCAAACUCAGAAUCAUCAGGAUAUCCUCUUCAUCAACAUAUUGUUCCAGUAUUCGAACAUCCCAUUCCUUUGUAGCAGGAUUGAUAAGGCUACUUACGAUCAUCUUUGGGUUUACUGCUGGAGCCCGGGUCCGUGCCGACUUAGCUGGCGUCGGAGGAAUCCAAUGAUCCUCCCACACGUUAACCUCGUACCCAUUCAAGAACAAUAUUUGACUGGUCACGACUAUAAAUAAAUAAAUCGUGACACUUCUUUUGGAUAACUAGCCACAUACUAUCGACACCUACCAAAAAGGCAUAUCUACGAGAUCCUUCCUAUCCUUAAAAUGAUUAUAGAAAUCAAAAGACAUUGCACAAAAUUCUUCCAGUUCUUGGAUCGUCAUACUUAUAAUUAAAUAUAAUUAAGAAAAUUAAAAUUAAACUGUUUGGUUUUAAUUUCUUAGAAUUGAAUAUCCAUAUUUUAGAUAUAAUUUAAUAUCAUUUGAAAUUUAUGAUCAAUUAUAAAAUACUGUAUUUUUUCGUAUUGGUUAAAUUAGUUUCAUUUAAUGAAAUCUUAAAAACCACUUAUAUUGAAACACCGCUUGUAAAAUUACCUUUAAGUCCUCCGCCGCAGCAAAGCCUUCACUUCCGGCGUUUCUCACGGCGUAGACGUAAAACGUUAAACAUCCUAAUCGUAUAUUCUUUUUCACCAUCUCAAAGCUAGGGCCUAAGGUUCUCCCACUUCGUCGCUUAAUUCUCACCUCAGUGUCGCAUAUCAUUGCAACUCUUUAAAUUGAUAGAAUUCCAUAGUCCUACUGAAACCUUCAUUAAUACAACCCUCCUUUGUUGUUUGUUUUACUUUCCGAAGUUGUCCACCAAGACUUGUACGCCAUGGAGGGAUUCACUAAUUUUCCAGACUUCAAAUCUGAAUUAAAACACAUUGGUAGUUUCAAGAAGGAGGUGAACAAAGUCGUUUACACAGCCGAAAACUACAUGAACAAUCAAUAAAAAGAAACACAGCUUCUUGGACGGACUAAGAGGGUUCGCAUAGACCUGAGAUGAGCUCAUGGAGACUCAUUUUUUAUUUAUGUUAAAAGAUCUCGCCAUUACCAUAUUUAUAAAGUUAUGUAUAUUCUCUUGUUAUAUGUCUAAUAAAGGGUUUCACUAUUGUUUGGGGUUUCUAAACUGUGGUAGAUAAUUAUUUUCUUAUACUUGCACAGCUUGCGGAUUUACUGAAUAGCUAAUGAUGAUGUAAAUUAGUCGGCGUAUCAGAUGUUGAAUCUCAGCGGAUAUGUGGGUCUCUGUCCGACAUAUUCAUGGGGAAAAUGUUGCUAGAUGUUGAAUUCAUGAAGAUAAAUCGAAAAUUCUUUUAGACGUCCACACAUAAGAUAUGAAAUAUCAACAUAUAAGAAAUCAUCGGUUAUUCUCAUACCAACCUAAUCGAUCUAUCAUAAUAUAGAUUAUAUACAACACGGAAAAACAAAAGUUAAAACAAAAAUCUCAUACAUAAGACUACACAAUGCAUCAAUAACGUAUCCGGCUCCGCGCUUGCGCGGAGGCUGGCUAUUCCCCUAGUUAGGAUUAAAAAGUUCGGUUUUAGUGAAAACAUGGAUUUCCUAAAUAACAAACAAUGUAGCUAUUUUUUAAUCGUUAAAGAAUUAGAGUAAUUAGAUAUUGGAGAUUCUAGUUUUGAAUGCAUUUUGAAAUAUUAAAAAACUGAAGUUAGAAAAAAUUUCUUUAUUUAAUUAUGAAAAAAAUAUUGAGUGGUUUGUUUUAUCUUAUCUUAAAAUAUAGUUACAAAAUUGAAUGAUAAAUACUUGAUUAAUAUUUUUUUACAAAAAUAAACUUCUUAUAUAAUUAAUAUGUUUGGAAGUUAUAUUAUCUAUAUGUUUAUUCUUUUUGUAAUAUGUAUUAUUAUUUUUAGUGAAGAAAUUUUAUGAUUCGCUUCGGGCAACCAUGACUCUAAACUCAAAGCCUGCAAAAGCAACAAUGAAAGAAGAAGAAAAGACAUUAGUUAAUGGUUUUGACUGAAACAAACAAAAGACAAAACACAAUAUAAAUGUACCUUUAGAGAAGCACCACCGACCAAGAAACCAUCAACAUCGGUCUGGCCAACUAGCUCCUUGCAGUUACCACCAUUGACGGAUCCUGAUCAUUUAUUUGGAUAAUCAAGCUAAGUAUCAAAGAAACUUUGUGGAGGAAUUUGGUUUGAAUCAAAGUACUGUCAUAUGACAUGUUAUUUAUUGUUUACCUCCGUAUACGAUGGGUUGUAGGCUUGUAGCAGCCACGUCAUCACUCACGUUCUUUGCUAGCCAUUUCCUAAGCUUAUCAUGUACCUGUGUUCAUAAACGAGAAAGAAUAUAAGUUUUCAUGUAUAGUCAUGGCGAUAAGCAACAAUGCUUAGCUCUCACACGCAUAGAGAAUAACUUACUGAGCUUGGGCUAGGCUGGCGACCUUUCCGGUUCCAAUGGCCUACACUGGUUCAUAGGCUAUAACAACAUUCGACUACUUCGACACUCGAUCUGCCAUUGCCAACAAAAAAAAGUUCUUUGUAAGAAGAACGGCCAGCAAAACAUUUCUAUGCAGCUUGGAGAUACACAAUGACAAGUGUUUGACAAUAUAAUAGAUAUACAAAUUAGCAAUAGCUUGAUUCUGGGCAUCCACAACAUCCAUGGUUGACCCAGCCUCUCGCUGCUCAAGAGUCUCACCAACACAAGCGAUCACUUUCAAACCUUGAGCAAGUGCAUAGGCAACCUUGUCUAGGCAACCUUGUCCCCGACAAACUACAAACGUAGGAUUGAGGUAAAAUAUCAAAAUAUCAGAGUGACCAAGGAUAACCCUUGGGAUGUCCAAAUUCACAAGCAUCUCAGCACUGCAACAUGGAAGUCAGACCUCAAUGUGCUCUUAACAAGAGGAAGAAAAUCAUAUGGAGCGCUAACCACAACCUCUGCAUUUGUAGAAUUUAUAGUAUGCUAGUUAUUAACAAAAACGAUUGCUACAAACAUUAUAUAAACCAAAACAUAUGUGCACCAGAAAUGCAGAUGAAAAACAAUUUGAGUAACAACAACAUCUUAAUAUAUUUUGAUCUACCCACAAGUUCACUACAUAGCCAGUAGAUACAGAAUUGUUUGUAUUCCCAAAUCCAAGUACGUCUUUUAAGAACUUAAAUCAGUUCAUAAAAUCUUCAAAGUAGUUAUUGGCCUUAUCAUGUUCUACCAAUUUCAAGAUCAAGAUUCCUAGACAGAUUCACAUCCCUUAGAUUUCUCAGACAUGAAAAAAUGAAAAACAGAAAACAAUAUUUCCAUCUAAGUAAUUGAGAUGAAGCACAUACCAACGACAUCCUGUGAAGGCACUUGAGCUUCGUUAAGAGUGUUAACAAUCUUCUUCAGUUGUGUAAUCUAAAUAUAUUUCUGCUAUCUUCUUUUGUCUGAUUUUGACGUUGUCGUGUUGAGUAAUCCAUUUGAUUUGGAAGUCCUAAAAUUUGACUCUCGAAAGCCUUAUAUUUUCAAUUCAGUUGUGUAAUCUAAAGUUCAAAAAACCACCACAGUUAAUGAAACUGCCAAACUGGUGACAUGUUUGUUAUCACCAGUGAAAUUUGUCUUUUAAUAAUCUCGGCUCCAAACAUGUUCCAAAAAUAUAGGGUCUAUAAUCUUAUGUUCAUCUAAAUUAUUUAUUUUUCGUAAGAAGUAAAUAAAUUAACUUCCAUUCACCUAUUUUGAUUUUAAAAAGUUGCCUUGGUUGUAUUAGUCAGCGAAAUUGAUGUCAUUGGCAAAUGACAAUGACAAUAACAAAAACUGUUAUCUAAUAGUAGCUGAGAAUGAGACAUGGAAAGAUCAUAGAGAAAAAAAAGAAAAGAAAAAGAGAGACAUGGAAGGAUCUUUCUUUUGUAAAGAAAGCACAACAAGUGGCUAAAAAAGAGCAGGUAACUCUCAUGGUUUACUCUAUUUAUUCCUCUAAAACAUAGUAACUCUAUAAUAGAGUUGGAUGUUGUUUCAAUAAUACUCUAUUUUAGAGUGAAAAAUAAAAUAAUGAAUAAAAAAUAAAAAAAUUAUUCUAUAUAUAGAAUAAAAAAUAGGUUUAUACUAUUAUAGAGUAAAAAAUAGAAUACUAUUGGAAUAUUUUUAUUCUAAACUCUGUUUUAGAAGAGAAAUAGAGUUGGGUUGCAGAUGCCAAGGUUAGGAAUCAGCUUCCUCGACGUCUUCUUACAUUGAAAUUCGAAUCUAUUUUGGACUUUGGUCGGCAGCGUUCAAACUUCUACGAUUCUAUAGUAAACACGUGGCCAAAUGACAAUUAUAAAGACAGAAACCUAGUCGAUCUAUUAAUCUUCUUUUUCUUUUUCUUUUCGUUUAAUAUACGUUAGAUUUUGAUAAAAAAGCGCAAAUUUAUUUUUGAAAUUAAAUAAUUUUUUUUAUAUAAUUUUUAUAUAAGAUAAUGUAUAGGUUUGGAUACAUUUACCCGGGUACACUGAACUAUACCAAACUGAAAAAAUAAAUUUAAGCUGAAUUUCAUAAAUAACCGAGCAUAUCCUAUAUGUUUGGAACCGAAAAAUAGAAACCGAACUGAGAACCAAAAAAUAGAAACCAAACUGAAAACUAAAUGAGUACUUAAAUUUUUAAAAUACAAAUUAUAUACCUAUUAAACAUAACUAAACCUUUGAAAAUUUUAUACAAUUAAUUGUACUCUAUGUGGUAAUGAUCAUGGAGAUUUAUUGUUAGAGUAAUUAUAUAAUAGAUUAUGGGAAAAUAAUAAAUGAGUUCAUUUAAAUUAUGUAAAGUAUUUAUAUAGUUAUAGAAAUAUAAGGUAAGACCAAAAAAAUAGUUAAAUCUGAUGAAAUAAUCUAACAACUUUGUUUAAGUAGAUUUUUGAGAAUCCUUCCCUUUUAAUAGUAUAUAAUCCAUAUUCGUACGCAGAAAUAUUUGCGAUGGUUUAUUAGUAAUAUAUAUUUUUGUUUUGUUUAGUUAGUUUUAUACUCUAAACUAUCAAUAUUAUUUAAACUAAAGUAUAUUUGGUACUAUUUGGAAAUAUGGAUAUCAAUAUAAAUGAAAAUUGUUUAGAAACAUCAAUAGCAAUAUAAAAAAAAAGUAUAGUAUCUUUUUAGUAAUUUUAUUAAUAUAAUUACAUUAAUUUUCUUUUUAUAUUGCACUCAUUCUAACAAUUUCAUUAAUUAUAUUACCUUAACAAUACAUCAAAUCAUUAUUAUAUUGCCCUAAUAAUAAUAGAUGCAGAUUUUCAUUUAUUUGUUAAUCAACAUUACUUUUGUUCCAAUUAUAAAAUCAAAAAUGUAAAAUAACUGGGUUUUGCAUAUGGUUAAACAUUCAAUUUAGUUUGUUUUACUUUUUUUUUUAAUUUUAGUUUCAAUCGAUGGAAAAUUACGUAGCCAAAAACAUAAUUUAAAUACAUGAUUUUGUGAAUAAAAUAAUAACUUAAAUCAAAAUAAUAAAAAUGUAUUAUAUUUAGUGUCGCUUAUUUUUUCACUCCAUAUAAUUAUUUCACUAAAACAAUACUUUUUAUUUCACUUAAUUUAGCCAGAUACAUAGAAAUAGUCAUUUUUAUUAGUUUAUUAAAUCAGUUAGGUAUGAACAUUGACAAUCCAUUUAGGUACAAUUGUUCUUUUAUGGGUAUCAUUUUUUUUUUUUUGAAUUUAAGCUCCACUUGAAUAUUAUAAGUUUAUGUACGGGUUUUGAGUUGGGUCUUUUUAGAUUUGGAAGAGUUCGGUUCUGAUGUAUAAGAACCUAAAAAUAUCUAAAUAACAAAUGUAUCUGAAUCGGGUUAGAAUAUUUGUACCAAAAAUAACCAUGUUAUCCGAUUCGGUCCAGGUCUUUUAAAUACAAUUAGUUAUAUUACGACUCGUUUAAAAUAUGUAACACCAAUUAUAAAAAAUGCAAAUAUCAAUGUAUAAAAAUGUAAGAACCAAUAUCCGCGCGGAUACGCGGAUCAAUCUCUAAUUUUAGUUAAAACUAUUGUUUAAGAGUUACUAAGUUAUGAUAUUUUAGCAUAUUUGAUUUUGAAAAUAUUCAACUUUACUAUAAUAAUUUCUUAUAAAAUUCUAAUUUGAUUAUAAUUUGGUGUGUUUAAUUUAUAUUUAUAAUUAUAUUAAAAUAUUUCAUUUUAUAUUUAAAUUUAUUAAGUUAUGGUAUUUAUAUUUAUAUUAAAGAUAUUUAUAAUUUAUAGAAAAUGAAAUUCGUUUUUGUUAAAUUACAUUUUAAAUAUAAAAAUGAUAUAUAUAUAUAUAUAUAUGAAUUCCCUUUUGGUAAUAAAGUGAUUUGGAACAAAUAUUAACAAAAAAAAGUUAAAUAAGAUAUAGUAAUAAUAAUACUUUAAUAAUUAAAUUAAUUCAUUAAGAUUAUAAUUGUAAUUAUGAAAGAUAUUGCCUUUUUAAUAAUAAGGUGAUUUAGAAAAAAAAAUAUUAACACAGCGAGUUAAAUAAAAUAUAUUAAUAGUAAUAAUUAAAUUAAUUCAUUAAGAUCAUUAUUCUAAUUAGCCAUUAUGAUAAUUAACUUGAGACCGAUAUAUAUAAUUAAUUAUUAAAAAGAUUUUUUAGUUACAUUAAAUAAUAAUAUCGACUCUAACUAAUAACCCAUAGUAUAAUUAGGACACUCAAAUCUGUCAUUAGGAACAAAACUUUUCAAAAAGCACAUCCAAGAAAAGCAACACUCCAUAUCUACUUUUUUUUUUCUUAGAAACGAGUAAAUUGGUAUAUAUAUAUAAAUCUCCUAUAUAUUAAUCUCGGAUCAUUACAACAUGUUUUCGUAUACACGUGUCAUCACGAAAAUGAUUUUUAGAAUUGUUAGAAAAAUAAGUUGGUCCGUAUAAAUAUAUACUAUAUACUAUAUUUUUUAUUAAACUAACUAUCAAGUUAAUUAAUUGUGUACAAAAGAACAUAUUUUUUUUCCUUAAGAAUUUUUUUUUCCUUAAAUAAAAGCUACGGUUACCUAAUAUGAUUAACAUAUAUAUGACAAUUAAUAAUUAUGAAUAAUACAUAUUUGAUAAAACAAAUUCUAAUCUUUCUCUUUUUUGUUUAAUUUUAUACUAUUUAAAGAAAUUAAACAAUCACAUCAAGCAUAUAAUAAAAACAAUUAGAUUUUUUCUUAUAUAUUAUAUUUUGAUUUUUUAAAAAUGACUAUAAAUCACUAAAAAUGGUAAAAGUCUCACAUUAAAAAUUUUGUGAUCAAAGGUUUAACUUUUUUUGUUUGUUCAAGUAAGAUACAAAUAAUCAUAUAUCAUAGGGGUGGACGUUCAGAUACACAUUCGGGUUUAUAUCAGAUAUUUCAGUAUAAAGGUAUAGAACCUGUUCGGAGUAUUUCUAUACUUCGAACCGGGUUCAGGUAUUUUAUGUUCGGGUUCAGAUAUUUUGGCUCGGAUUUGAAUAUUUAAUUUUUGAAGAAAAAAAUAAUAAAUUAUUCAUUGUUUAACUUUUUUGUAUUUAAAAUAUAUUUUAACUUAACUUUUUUUGAAAAACUUUUAAAAUAUUAAACUAUUAAUAUGUUUGGAGAUAAACUUUAAAAAUAGAAAGACACUAAUUUAGUUAUUUUUUUGAAAUUUUAGAUGCAACUUUUGUUAAUAUAAGAAACAAGAACUUGAUAUGUAUUUUAAGUGAGUAGCAAAUAAUUUUGUCCAUAAUUAUAUGAAUAUUAUCUAAUUUUGGCAAUAAGAAUCAUUAAUAUAAAUAUUUUGAAUAAAAUGAGAGAAAUACACUAGAAAUAUAGAGUUAAGUAUACUUAUGUUUGGUUAUCUUCGGAUAUCCAUUCGGAUUCGGAUAUUACCCGUUCAGAUUCAGAUACUACCCAUUCGGAUUCAGAUAUUACCCUAACUGGUGAAAUAAGUAAUUUGUUUUGUUGUUCUAAUUAAAUGAUUUUUAGACCGAGUUGGUGAAUAUAUACUAGAUAAAUAUUUAUAUAUCGAGUUUGCAUUUAUAUUCUAUAACAGCUUGAUAUAUUAGAUUUGAACACUAACCUGUUAAUAUAGUUUGCUGGUGAUUUUGUUUUUCAAAAUUUUGAUUCUUAGAUAUAUAUAUGGAAUGAAACUAAUUUUUACAAAUGUCCAUUUUUUUAAUUGACACUUAUGUAAUUCACUGAAUUUAUAAAAGAAGUUAAAAAAGAAACGUAACUCAUAUCAAUGAAACAAAGAAGAGAACGAAAGCACAAUUCUAGAGAGGUGGAAAAUGAAAUCACUUAUGGAGAGUCAAUAGUAAACAAAUCGAGAGCAAAAAACCUAAUCUACUUUCGUCAUUAUACAAUUGAUGUUGCCUAUUUGUUUUGGUGAUUUGUGUUAGCCGCAAAACUUAAUUUUUUUUUUGCAUAUGAAGUUUUAAAAAUAAUAAAAAUGAGAUGUAAUAUGUUAACUCUUCUACAACGAUAUAUAUUUAAGAAAUCAACAUUUGUAUUCAUAAUUUUAUAAUCGAUAAAAUUGUAUUAUUGUAAAAUGUUAAAAUCAUUUCAUAAUCAAAUAUUAUCAUAAGAAUUCACUACGCGCAUAGACGCAGGUUAUCAUCUAGUAGGAUAGUAAAACUAAUCCGAUAAACUAAUUUCGAGAUCAGCCAAAAACAGGUUAAGAUUUUGGAUUACAUCACACAAAAAAGUAAGAACCAAUUUUAAACAGCAAAAAGACACCAAAAUUUUAAGCCAAAUUAACUAGAAUUUUCACGGUCAUAAUCAAAUCCACUUUUUCAAUUAUUUACAAGUUUGCCUAAAUUUAACCGACGCACACGAAAAGAGAAGAAUAAUUGUACUUCCUUUUCUAAAAAGUCCAGCUGUUCGUCACUUAAAAAAAAAAUGUACAUAUACACUUACCGCACGCAUAAGCUUAUAGAAACAGUCAUAUCUAUUUAUCUACAUUUAUAGUUUCUCAAUAAAACGUUAACUCUCUCUCUCUCUCCCCAUAAAUAAACACCCCAAACAAUUCACGGGUUUCACUUAAAUCGUUUUUUCUUGAGUCUUUUUUCUUUCAUCUUUUCCAAAACUAGCAAAACAUGGCCACAGCGCCACCGUCAAUCUCUCUCCUCCUCCUCCUGCUCUCCGCCGCCGUAUUCCUCACCCUCCCCGCUACUAUCUCCUCCAUCGGCGUCAACUACGGCACUCUCGGGAACCUCCCACCGCCGACUCAGGUGGCAAACUUCCUCAAGACUCAGACUUCGAUAGACAGCGUCAAGCUCUUCAACGUGAAUCCAGAUAUCAUCCGUGCCUUCGCCGGAACUGGAAUCUCCGUCGUCGUCACCGUCCCUAACGGGGAUAUUCCGGCGUUAGCUAACGGAGUACAAGCUCGUCGGUGGGUUUCUGCUAAUAUUCAACCGUUUCAUCCUCAGACAAAGAUCAAGUAUAUCUCUGUCGGAAAUGAGAUUCUGCUCUCCGGAGAUGAUAACAUGAUCAAGAAUCUUUUACCGGCGAUGAAGAAUCUUAACGCUGCUUUGGUUCGUGCUGGUGUCAAAGAUGUUAAGGUCGGUUUAUCUCUUCAUUUCCUAAUCUCCUGAUUUUUUUCUGUUUUGGUGAUUAAAUAAUUUAAUAAUAUAUUUCGAUGUCAUUAAUGCGUCAUUAGUAGAUAAUAAUUGAUGAUUGGCGUGAUAAUGCAAUUUGAAAAAAAAAUCGUUAAAAAAAAAAACGGAACCAAUGCAUUGAUUGCGCUUAUAAAGUUGGAACAAUCUAAAGUUAAAUUCAAAGUCCAAAUCCUUACUGUAACUGCAUAAUGUACUUCAUCGUGUCUCUUUAUUUUUGCUUCCAUUUUUUCAUUAAAUAAAAGGUAAAAAUAUCGCUUGUAAAAUUCCAAGAAAAAAAAAUCAAAGAAUGUUAUUGAAUGAUAAUCAUUCAAAGGUCCGACCAUAUAGACUAGGCCUGGGCAAAAUAACCGGAACCGAAGAACCGAACCGGAACCAAACCGAAAUACCCGAAACCGGAACCGGACCAAUACCCUCAAAUACCCGAACGGUUCCUAUAUUUUUAUAUCCGAAAUAACCGAACCGAACCGGAACCGAACCGAGAACCGAACAGGUACCCGAAUAUAUAAAAAUAUUAAUUAUAUAUACAUAUAACAUCAUUAAAUAUAUAUUUUAAAUUUAAAAUUCUAUUAAAAGCAUCUUAAAAUAGUUUAUGAUAACUAGACUAUCCCACGUGCCGUCUCACCGCUCUGUUUGUUAUGAUUUAUGAAUGUUUCUGAUGACAAAUGCGAAAACAAGUCGUAGUGUGCUUUUAUUACAUCACAAAUACAUGUAUAUUUCCGAAUAAAUCAAAUUGUAUACAACUUUCAUGGGAUAUUUAGACCAAUAUGGCUAUCAAUUGUAACUUGCUAGAUAAUAAUUGAUUUUAAUAUAUACUAACUGUUGCAAUUUGGUUCCAGGUUACAACAGCACAUUCACUUAACAUUAUAGCCUAUGAACUGAAUGGUGCACCAAGCAGCGGUCGAUUCAGACCAGGCUGGGACAAAGGCGUAUUGGCUCCAAUCCUAGCUUAUCAUCGUCAGACCAAGUCUCCGUUCAUGGUUAACCCUUACCCUUACUUCGGUUUCGACCCUAAAAACGUCAACUUCGCCAUUUUCCGCUCACCGUACAAGGCGGUCCGUGACCCGUUAACCGGCAAAGUCUACACAAACAUGUAUGACACUCUCAUGGACUCGACUUACUCAGCCAUGAAAGCUCUUGGCUACGGUGAUGUUGACAUCGUCGUUGGUGAGACAGGCUGGCCAUCUGCCUGCGAUGCACCGUGGUGCUCCCUUGAAAACGCGGCUUGGUUCAACCUCAACAUUAUUAAACGUGCUCAAGGCCAAGGAACACCUCUCAUGCCUAACAGACGGUUCGAGACUUACAUUUUUGGUUUGUUUAACGAAGAAGGCAAGCCCGGUCCAACCGCAGAGAGGAACUGGGGGCUGUUCCGGUCAGAUUUCUCUCCGGUUUACGACGUGGGCCUCCUCAGAAACAAACA
rnacentral:lncRNA from 1 species